rnacentral:rRNA from 1 species
CCUACGGGAGGCAGCAGUGAGGAAUAUUGGUCAAUGGCCGAGAGGCUGAACCAGCGAAGUCGCGUGAGGGAAGACGGCCCUACGGGUUGUAAACCUCUUUUGUCGGGGAGCAAAGAGAGUCACGUGUGACUCAUUGAGAGUACCCGUAGAAAAAGCAUCGGCUAACUCUGUGCCAGCAGCCGCGGUAAUACGGAGGAUGCGAGCGUUAUCCGGAUUUAUUGGGUUAAAAGGGUGCGCAGGCGGAGGUGCAAGUCAGCGGUCAAAUUGCGGGGCUCAACCCCGUACUGCCGUUGAAACUGGACGCCUUGAGUGCACAACAGGCAGGCGGAAUUCGUGGUGUAGCGGUGAAAUGCAUAGAUAUCACGAGGAACCCCGAUUGCGAAGGCAGCCUGCCGGGGUGCGACUGACGCUGAGGCUCGAAGGUGCGGGUAUCAAACAGGAUUAGAUACCCGAGUAGUC